GUUCGGUGCCGUGCUGAGCACCCUGACCGGAUGCUCUGGUCAGGAGCGCAUGCCUCUGCUGCAGUCGCUGGUGAUGCAGCUUCUGCUUGGCAGCGUGCAGCUGGAAGGAAAGAUUAGCUCGAAGGGCUCCCACCAACGCGCCUUUGUGACUCAGCUCCUUACGAAUUUCUCCUAUGGUGCAUUCCUGCUCACACACACGGUCUUCUACAUCCCUGCAGCGAAUCUCCAACAGUUCCUCUUCCUCUUGUAUUUCUAACACAAAGACAAAAGAGUCAUGUCGAAUUGUUAAUUCAUUUUGCUUUGACUUGCGGGCAAAAAUGUCCGAUUGGAGCACUGAAUGGUGACAGUGAACUCAAGUGUUGUGUUUAAUUAUUUCAUUUUAUCAUAUCGUAUUGAUUCUUAUGUAUUGGUGGAUGCUGGAACACACCAUUGGCAUUUCCAUUCAUUUCAACUGGAAACAAUUAUUUGAGAUACAAGUAAAUUUUGCAGAAUGGUUGCGGAAUGAAUUAAACUCAUCUCAAGGAACCACUGUAUGUUGUUGAUAUAUGUAGACAUGGGGCAAUAAUGUGUAUGACCACUCGAUAAUUUAUGCUUACCUGGCACCAAUACCUAAAAAUAAAACAUAGUUGGACUCAAGCAGUGUAUACGAAAAGUUCAUUCAGUUGGAUCUGAUACAUAUUGUCUCGAGAGACACAGUGCCUGCAGCGUCCUCUCCACACAAUUUUAAAGCUGACAACACUAUAUUAUUUUUACUUGCUUGCUCUGUAUACAACCUUUGCACCUUUCAUUGCUGUCAAACCCUCAGAGGCAAAGGAGGGCGGUGCACGUAAAAAGCGGAGUCAGAACUGGGCCUCCAGGCUGACUGAGCAAAGCUGGUCAAAGGAGGGGAUUACAUCCUUUGAGGCUAGUGCUCAUGCCUCAACGGCAGAAAUAGGUCAGUAUCUUUGUAGGGGAGAAUCCCAAGGGUGGGGAGACAACUGGUCAUUCCUCAAGCAAAAAUACACAACCUGGAUAAGACGUAAAUAUAAGAGAAAAAAAGAGAAUGGAUGCACUCUUAAUGUGAUUUAGUAUGAUACUCCUGAUAUUCCUGGACAUAGACUCUCUCUUCUGUAUUCCAGGAAAGCUCCUCAAACAUUGAAUCUCAGGUUUGCUGUCGCCCAUCAUCACCACACCCAGGUUGAGCUUGUACAUAAUACUUGAGAGUUCAUAAUGUGAUCUUCAUAUCACCCUGAACUCUUCUCCCCUCCAUCCCGUCUGCCGCCUUUUUGCUUCCUUUUAAUCGCUCGCUACCUCCCCUUUCUUUGCAUCUCACGAGCUCUCACUGCCUACUUCUGCUUCCUCGCGCUGUCUGCUGUAAACAGACACCUCCCAUGGGACCACAAGGGGAGAUGAUAGCUGAGGGGAAAAAAAGAGGACGGAUCAAUUUUCCUGGGUGGGAGGAGAAAGCACUCUUUUGAUGGAUAGGCACAUAACCUGCCUUGGAAAAAGAGAUGGCGCUAAUGGCUGCGUAAUGCAGCUACACGGGCGCUGCCCGCUUAUUGACUCCUCUGUCUUUCGCUCACUGUGACAAAAUGGUGCACAUCUCUAAAUUGAGGCUACAAUAAAAACAUCCAGCAGGGACAGCAUAUUGUGUUCCAGGACAGUGUGUCUUUGCAAGAGUUUUUGUUAUCCCCACUGCCCUAAUAAAGCCGCUACGCAUUUGC